AACGAACGCUGGCGGCAUGCCUAACACAUGCAAGUCGAACGAGACCUUCGGGUCUAGUGGCGCACGGGUGCGUAACGCGUGGGAACCUGCCCUUAGGUUCGGAAUAACUCCCCGAAAGGGGUGCUAAUACCGGAUAAUGUCUUCGGACCAAAGAUUUAUCGCCUUUGGAUGGGCCCGCGUUGGAUUAGCUAGUUGGUAGGGUAAAAGCCUACCAAGGCGACGAUCCAUAGCUGGUCUGAGAGGAUGAUCAGCCACACUGGGACUGAGGCACGGCCCAGACUCCUACGGGAGGCAGCAGUGGGGAAUAUUGGACAAUGGGCGAAAGCCUGAUCCAGCAAUGCCGCGUGAGUGAUGAAGGCCUUAGGGUUUUAAAGCUCUUUUACCCGGGAUGAUAAUGACAGUACCGGGAGAAUAAGCUCCGGCUAACUCCGUG
rnacentral:rRNA from 1 species